AUUGAACGCUGGUGGAAUGCUUUACACAUGCAAGUCGAACGGUAGAGGGGGCAACCCCUCGAGAGUGGCGAACGGGUGAGUAAUAUAUCGGAACGUGCCCAGUCGUGGGGGAUAACGUAGCGAAAGUUACGCUAAUACCGCAUACGAUCUAAGGAUGAAAGCGGGGGAUCGCAAGACCUCGCGCGAUUGGAGCGGCCGAUAUCAGAUUAGGUAGUUGGUGGGGUCAAGGCUCACCAAGCCAACGAUCUGUAGCUGGUCUGAGAGGACGACCAGCCACACGGGAACUGAGAAACGGUCCAGACUCCUACGGGAGGCAGCAGUGGGGAAUUUUGGACAAUGGACGCAAGUCUGAUCCAGCCAUUCCGCGUGCAGGAUGAAGGCCCUCGGGUUGUAAACUGCUUUUGUACGGAACGAAAAGGUCUCUCUUAAUACGGGGGACUCAUGACGGUACCGUAAGAAUAAGCACCGGCUAACUACGUGCCAGCAGCCGCCGCUG
rnacentral:rRNA from 1 species